AUACGGAGGGUGCAAGCGUUGUCCGGAUUUAUUGGGUUUAAAGGGUGCGUAGGUGGCGUGUUAAGUCAGUGGUGAAAGCCUGCAGCUCAACUGUAGAGGUGCCAUUGAUACUGACAUGCUUGAGUGUGGAUGAGGUAGGCGGAAUUUGUGGUGUAGCGGUGAAAUGCAUAGAUACCACAAAGAACACCGAUAGCGAAGGCAGCUUACUGGACCAUAACUGACACUGAGGCACGAAAGUGUGGGUAGCGAACAGGAUUAGAAACCCCAGUAGUCC
rnacentral:rRNA from 1 species